ACUGGAGUUUGAUCCUGGCUCAGGAUGAACGCUAGCGGCAGGCUUAACACAUGCAAGUCGAGGGGUAUAUUUCUUCGGAGAUAGAGACCGGCGCACGGGUGCGUAACGCGUAUGCAAUCUACCUUUUACAGAGGGAUAGCCCAGAGAAAUUUGGAUUAAUACCUCAUAGCAUAGCAAUCUCGCAUGAGAUCACUAUUAAAGUCACAACGGUAAAGAUGAGCAUGCGUCCCAUUAGCUAGUUGGUAAGGUAACGGCUUACCAA
rnacentral:rRNA from 1 species